rnacentral:rRNA from 1 species
UACGGAGGAUCCUAGUGUUAUCCGGAUUUAUUAGGUUUAAAGGGUGUGUAGGCGGGAUAAUAAGUCAGUGGUGAAAUCUUACCGCUUAACGGUGAAACUGCCAUUGAAACUAUUACCCUUGAGUACAGUUGAGGUAGGCGGAAUGUGUUGUGUAGCGGUGAAAUGCUUAGAUAUAACACAGAACGUCGAUUGCGAAGGCAGCUUACUAAACUGUUACUGACGCUGAGACACGAAAGCGUGGGGAGCGAACAGGAUUAGAUACCCCGGUA